GGUGGUUCUCGGUUGUCGCACCCAAGAAUCAGGCUCCCUCCUCUCUGGUUCUGGUGCGUCAUCCGAGAACCGCU
rfam:Myotis lucifugus cont2.40399, whole genome shotgun sequence.